rnacentral:rRNA from 1 species
UUAAAAAGCUCGUAGUUGGAUUUCGGAGUGGGCCAGUUGGUCCGCCGCAAGGUGUGUUACUGACUGGUUUGCUCUUCUUCGCAAAGACUGCGUGUGCUCUUGAGUGAGUGUGCGUAGGAUUUACGACGUUUACUUUGAAAAAAUUAGAGUGUUCAAAGCAGGCUAUUGCUUGAAUACAUGAGCACGGAAUAAUGGAAUAGGACUUUGGUCCCAUUUUGUUGGUUUCUAGGGCCGAAGUAAUGAUUAAGAGGGACAAUUGGGGGCAUCCGUAUUGGGGUGUGGUGCAGAGGUGGGGGUGGCUUGGGAUUUUACCGAAAAGAACGAACCAACCUGCCGAAAAGCACUUGCCCAAGAGUGUUUUCAUUAAUCAAGACCGAAAGUUAGAGGAUCGAAGACGAUCAGAUACCGUCCUAGUUCUAACCAUAAACGAUGUCGACUAGGGAUCAGCGGGCGUUAUCGUACGACCCCGUUGGCACCUUACGGGAAACCAAAGUUUUUGGAUUCCGGGGGAAGUAUGGUUGCAAAGCUGAAACUUAAAGGAAUUGACGGAAGGGCACCACCAGGAGUGGAGCCUGUGGCUCAAUUUGACUCAACACGGGAAAACUUACCAGGUCCAGACAUAGUAAGGAUUGACA